rnacentral:rRNA from 1 species
GACGAACGCUGGCGGCGUGCCUAAUACAUGCAAGUCGAGCGGACUUGUGGAAGCUUGCUUCCAUAAGUCAGCGGCGGACGGGUGAGUAACACGUGGGCAACCUGCCCCUAAGAUCGGGAUAACUUCGGGAAACCGGAGCUAAUACCGGAUAUGAUUUUCUUUCUCAUGAAGGAAAAUGGAAAGAUGGUUUCAGCUAUCACUUAGGGAUGGGACCGCGGCGCAUUAGCGAGUUGGUGAGGUAACGGCUCACCAAGGCGACGAUGCGUAGCCGACCUGAGAGGGUGAUCGGCCACACUGGGACUGGGACACGGCCCAGACUCCUACGGGAGGCAGCAGUAGGGAAUCUUCCGCAAUGGACGAAAGUCUGACGGAGCAACGCCGCGUGAGUGAAGAAGGUUUUCGGAUCGUAAAACUCUGUUGUUAGGGAAGAACAAGUACCAUAGUAACUGAUGGUACCUUGACGGUACCUAACCAGAAAGCCACGGCUAACUACGUGCCAGCCGCCGCCGUAAGAC